rnacentral:rRNA from 1 species
AGCGAACGCUGGCGGCAGGCCUAACACAUGCAAGUCGAACGAAGUCUUCGGACUUAGUGGCGGACGGGUGAGUAACACGUGGGAACGUGCCUUUAGGUUCGGAAUAACUCAGGGAAACUUGUGCUAAUACCGAAUGUGCCCUUCGGGGGAAAGAUUUAUCGCCUUUAGAGCGGCCCGCGUCUGAUUAGCUAGUUGGUGAGGUAAAGGCUCACCAAGGCGACGAUCAGUAGCUGGUCUGAGAGGAUGAUCAGCCACAUUGGGACUGAGACACGGCCCAAACUCCUGCGGGAGGCAGCAGUGGGGAAUCUUGCGCAAUGGGCGAAAGCCUGACGCAGCCAUGCCGCGUGAAUGAUGAAGGUCUUAGGAUUGUAAAAUUCUUUCACCGGGGACGAUAAUGACGGUACCCGGAGAAGAGGCCCCGGCUAACUUCGUGCCAGCAGCCGCGGUAACAC